CAGUCGCCGCGGUAAUACGUAGGGUGCGAGCGUUAAUCGGAAUUACUGGGCGUAAAGCGUGCGCAGGCGGUUGUGUAAGACAGGUGUGAAAUCCCCGGGCUUAACCUGGGAACUGCGCUUGUGACUGCACAGCUAGAGUAUGGCAGAGGGGGGUGGAAUUCCACGUGUAGCAGUGAAAUGCGUAGAGAUGUGGAGGAGCACCGAUGGCGGAGGCAGCCCCCUGGGCCAACACUGACGCUCAUGCACGAAAGCGUGGGGAGCAAACAGGAUUAGAUACCCGCGUAGUCCCUGUCUCUUAUAC
rnacentral:rRNA from 1 species